AAAGGACAUUCAGGAGUAUAAAGGACAGAAGUGAGAGGUAGAGAAGGCAGAGGAAGGGCCAAACCAAUACCUUUAGCCACAGUUUGAGAACCAUUAGCUAAGGUAACAGUAGGUAAAUCAGAGGUAGUAGUAAUAGAGGAGAAAAGAUCCUUAUUACCAGAUAGGUGAUCAGAUGCUCCAGAAUCUAGAAUCCAGGGUCCAAGAGAAGAUGUGUGGGUAAGGCAGGCAGAGGCAUUACCAGGCUGGGCAACAGAGGCAAUAGAAGCCUGAGAUGUCUGAGAUGCGGAGGAGCUCGGAGGCUGAGGCAGCGGAGAAUCAGAGGACUGGGCCAUAUGGGCAGUGCGAGGAGGUCUUCCAUGUAACUGAUAGCAACGAUCGCGAGUGUGGCCAAGUUUAUUGCAAUAGGUGCAAUGAGGACGUUGGCCUCUACCUCGGGUACCACUGCGUCCUCCUCGAGAGGUAGUUUGAGAAACUAACACAGAAGAAUCUGAAGCACUAUCAGAUGACAAAGUCUGAGUGGACGAGAUACGGAGGAGGCGAGCAAACACAUCAUCCAAGGACGGAACUGAUGAACUACCAAGAAUCUGAUCACGAAUAGGCUCAAGAUCCGAACGGAGGCCAAUAAGAGUAAGGACCAUAAAGAACUUGUCAAGCUGUGUUUGUUGAGCCCCAACAUCAGGAGUAAGAGGCAUCACAGUCAAGAACUGUUCCUUAAGAGAGGCAAUCUGACCAAUAUAAGUAGAUAGAUCCAAGUCCUGUUGGCUGAUAUGGACAAUAGCAGAAGCCACCUUAUAAAGGCGCUGGAUAUCAUUCGUGUAUAAUCCUUUGGCCUGAGUCCAAAAUUUAAAACAAGUUUUGUAGGCCUGAAGAUGAAGAAGAAUCCUGGGAUCAACCGAUUGCCAUAAUACACUACAUAACUGUGCAUCUAUCUUCCUCCACUGUACGCGGUCAAUCUCAGGGAUAUCUGCCUCCUGGGUAACCAAGUGAUCCUCAUAUCCUUGACCCAUAAACCAAAGUUCAACAGAGGCAGACCAGGAGCGAUAAUUCUCACUGCCAACCAAUUUCUCUGAGGUAAUCAUAGGAGAUCCAGAGAUAACAGAGGUAAAGAUCUGAUUUUUUGUGGUCAUAUUCACGUAUUUGGAUCGAAGAGAGCCCUAAGACGGGUUCAGAUUUCGGCGGAGAGAGAAAAAACAGUGAAACCACGGCUGUGAGAGGUGCAAUCAAUGGAGAAAAAAAGGUCGUGACGUGCCUGGAGAGGAAGAGAAGCAGCACCCAAGCCUCGGAGAUGGAGGGGGAGCCCUGUCGGAGAUGGCCGGAAUGGCAAGAAAGCCAAAAACAGGGAAAAAAUGGAGAUGCAGGGCUUGGGGAGGACUGCCGGAGGGCUAGAAGGCCAAGACGGCGCCGGACGAGCCUGGAGAGGUGUCGGAAGUGGCUGGAAAGUGAGCCACGCGCCGUCACGCGCCGGCGCGUGGGUGACAGUCUGGAGGAGAAGAGCGGCGCGUGGGGGCGCGUGAGAUGCCGGUUUCCGGUGGGGUUUCCACUGGCGUGUAGAUCAGCCUCUAGCGUUUUGGAAUAUGUGGUCGUUGCCCGGAAAAUAGGUCGCCGGAAAAUUUCGCCGGAAAAGGUUGCCGGCGUGGUGGAGAUCCGACGGCGAUGAGGUUGUCCGGAGUGAUUCGGGAAGAAAAUGAGGGGACCGGAGUGAAACACGGUCACUGGACGGUUCGCCGGAAUUGAUUACACGGCUAAACCGAAAAAAGAUUAGGUUUUCUCCUUUGGCUCUGAUACCAUGUUGAGAGAGAGAGAGAAAGGAGAAAAACCUUAAUUCUCAUUCAUAUGUUAUCUACUUACAAUUGAGAGAUAUAUAUAUACAAGGCUAGGAGUCCUAACUACCAUACAUGUGACCUAUAUUAACAAGGAAAGAUAAUAUACUAUAAAUACAUUAUAUUCAACAGUCCUAAUCUCAAGUUCUCUUGUAGACCUUGUUCUGAUAUUAAUGUGCUUCUAGACUGUAGGGUUGGCACUUCUAUCCCAAUUAUCAGCUGGCCUUAUUGACUGGUAAAGAUCUUGUCUUAGACUAUGAUACUCCAACCAAAAUACAAGGAGCCUCAAUUUCAAGUUCUCUGACAGAUCUUGUGAUGAUGCCAGUGUGCUUCUUGACUGUAGAGUUGGCACUUCUAACCAAUGAUUAGUUGGUCUUAUUGACUGGUACACAUCCUGUCUUAGACUAUAUACUCCAACCAAAAUACAAGCCAUAAUGGCUAGGGAAGCUCUCAUUCCUCCAGACAACUCUUCCAAUAACUUAAUUCCCAGAUGGGCCUUCCAUCAAGGGUCCUUGUCCCAAUGCUAAAAUCUAAGUCAGCAGCACAAUAACCUGUUGUGCCAGUGUGCUUCUUGUAGAGUUGGCACUUCUAGCCAAUGAUUAGCUGGUCUUAUUGACUGGUUUACAUCCUGUCUUUUAGACUAUAUACUCCAACCAAAAUAUAAGCCAUAAGGGUUAGGGAAGCUCCCAUUCCUCCAGAAAACUCUUCCAAUGACUUAAUUCCCAGAUGGGCCUUCCAUCAAAGGCACUUGUCCCAGUGAUAAAAUCAAAGUCAACAGCACAAUCACCUAUUUUGUAAUGAAAAUACUUUAAAGACUUGUACCACUGAUUUCACAAAACUAAUAUUUCAAGCAUAAGGUUUCCAAUCAAUUUAGAUAUUGAAAGUGGCUUGGAAACCUUAGGAAGUAAACUGCAUAAAUCAAAUUGUAUAACUAUUAAUGUUUUAGUGGGAUUAGAAUUCAAAUUGGAGCAAAACAAGCAAGUUUCUGGCACUUCAACUUGAAGUAAUCAAUCUUAUGCUUGGAUCAACCAGAGACACAUUUUAGGUGCUACUAAUGUAUGUUAUGCGCAAUUACUUGAGCAAAAGCUUAGGUCAGAUUGACCGAGUAAUUACUGUAUGGAUCUUGCCCCACUGAAGUGGCCAAACCUAGUAGGUUUAACCUUCAGAUGUUCUGAUUUCUCUAGAAUUCUAUUCUAGUUCAAGUUUCUCUCUGUUAAUGUCAGAUCUGAAAGAGAAUUAGUGAGAGAGACCAACUAUUUUCACAAUGUAAAAAUUGCUCCAUGCUUAAGGAGACGACACAUUUUUUUAAGACAAUUAAAUAUUCUCAAACUCCUUAGAUAUACAAAAAAAUCUGUGGAUAAUGUAGAGACAUCAGACAAUUUCCCAUUAAUCAUGGAUUCAGUUUGCCUGCUGAUUCAAUUAUCUAGAUUGCUAAAUCAAGUGCUUCAUUAUUUUUUGUGGAAUCAAAUGGCUGCUCAUAGAUUCAAGAAUAGGUCUUAUGGACUCUAAACUGGUGAAGCUGCAUAAUACAGGUUGUGGGCUCAACUUUCUACAGCACAUGACUCGUGUUGGAAGAGUUGAAGAAUUCUUCAAGGCAGCAAAUUAGAUAAUUAGCCACACCAGUAGGUAUUUCAUCUUGUUUCUUUUUUCAAACCUAUUGCUUUAAUCUGGAAAGGUCCAGAAUCCAACCUAGCAAUGAUCAUUCAUUUAUGUGCUUUUGUGUUCAUGCAGUUAUCUUUUGUACUACUCUGUUCCAAGAAUCUUACAAUUAUUUCUAGUAAUAUACAUAGAGCUUCACACAUAACCAUCAUGACUGAUACCAAGGGUUCAUUAAAAGGUUGAUUUUAAAACAUAAAACUUAAUCGAAAUCGUACCUUGUCUUUCGGGAUGCCAACACUUGAUGCAACAUGUUCAGCAGCAUUUCUUUUGUCACCAGACAACAUGUACACACUUAUUCCUUGUCUAGACAAAGAUUCAACAACAUGUCGUGCAUCGUCCCUGAUCUGGUCCUCAAAAUAAAUAAGACCAGCAAGUGUGCCAUCUACUCCCACGUAAACAACAGACUGAUUCUUAAGCUCAUCCACCUCUUGAAAUGGAUUCUCUUGAACUCCAUGCCUGGAGAAGGGGAAAAUAUGACCAAAAAAAAAAAAAAAAGAAGGAACAAAAGAAAGAAAAUGCUCAUAAUCUAAAAGUAAGAUAUGUCAUGCAUUUUAGGAAAUAAGGAAGACAAGAAACUUGUGGCCAUUAUGGGGGAAUCUUUAUUCUACUUCUGAGUCCUUUUAGAUAAACACAUAGGCAAGAAUCUUGGACUGUAUAUCAGCCUAGGUAAAAAUUUUGAAUAAACACCUAAGCAAAAACAUUAAGCUAAUUAGGGAUGGGCUAACAAUGCAUAUCAGCUUCAUGCUAGCCUCCUUCCUAUGUAGGCUCAACAAAUGGGGGAAUAAACAGAGAGAAACUCAGAAACAAGACUUCCAGGAACAAAAAUUCUGGAUUCAUGUUAAACUAUCAAGUAGCCCAAAAGCUUAAUUAUUAUGAAAUUAGCAAGCAUUUUUUUUUUUUUUUGAUGAAUAAAGAGAAAUAUAUUAAAAGAAAAGAGGCACUUCAAGGAAGCACCCCAGAGUAUACAGGAGGUAUACAAAAGAGAGAAAAAGACCCUUAACUAGGGCCUAACCAAUCAACAAAAUCUACAACGGAAGGGGGACCAGAACCAAAAAACCCCCUAGUCCAUGCUCACAGAUUAUAGAGGAAAAACGAUUUACACUCAUGAAUUGAAUGCUCUUCAUUUUCAAACGCCCUACUGUUUCUUUCCUUCCAAACAAUCCAAAAAAGGCACAAGGGAGCUGAAAACCACACUUUCUUCCUUUCCUUUCCCACACAAGGCACAAACCACCCCAAUGACGCCUCUCUAACUGAAGAGGGGAGCACCCACGAAACCCUAAAGAGGGAAAAAAGUAAGCUCCAUAAACUUCUGGCCAACCCACAAUGCAGGAGGAUGUGAUCAAUAGACUCUUCCUCUACCAGACACAAAUAACAUCUAUUAGCCAAGGAGAACCCUCUUUUCUGAAUACGAUCCAAGGUUAAGGCCUUUUUCCACGAAGCCUCCCAAGCAAAAAACUCACCCUCGGAGGCACCAAAGAAUUCCAAAGAAUUCCAAAUAACUCUAGCAGGAAAAUCUCUUAGUCUUUCCGGUUCCAAAGCCUUGUAAAGAGAUUUAACAAAAAAUCUUCCAUCCUUUGCCUUAGUCCAAAUUACUUGAUCUUCCACAUCACUAUAAACCCUCCUCCCUUGCAACCUUAAGAGAAGAUGCUCUACAUCGAACACUUCCCAAUCAUUAAUCCGCCUAGAGAACGUAGGAGCCCACACUCCCCCUUCAGAAUGGCUCCACACAUCCGCCACCCAAACCUCCUUAUCAAGGAUAUAGCAAAUAAGGAGGGAAAAGAGGUACACAAAGGAUCAUCUCCACACCACUUGUCCUUCUAAAAUCUAACCCUCCUACCAUUUCCCACAGAAUAAACCAAAUUGUCACCUAACACAUUAGCAAGCAUUAUAAACAAAACUAACAUUUAACACUAGCCCUCAAAGUAAAUAUAUAGACCAGAAUCCCUGCACUGGUGCCAACAGCAUGAUGCCAACUCUGAAUUAUGUCUUGGUAUAAAACAGACAAGUUUGCCAUUUCCAAAAUAAUAAAUGAACUGAUUCUUCAUUAUGUUGGACAUUUUAUUUCAUUGGAUCUCUGCACUCCAAUAUCCUGAUACAGAUUAGAAUUAUGUUCUCAUGUCGAAGAAGGCUUGGACUGAAGCCACCAAACAAUUAAUAUAAGCUUCCUAGUCAACAGAAAAGAAAGAAAAUUUGGAAAUCCAAAAUUAAAAUAUAUAUAUAUAUAUAUAUAUAUAUAUAUAUAUAUAUAUAUAUAUAUAUAUAUAUAUAUCUAAAAAUGCUAAUAAUUCUUGCUAUGCAUCAAGGAAAUCCAUAAGCCUCAUAAAAAUCAUUCAGCACUGUGUCAGACUAAUGACACAAGUAAAACAUUUUUUCAUUAAAAUACAAAUUCCAAUUUAGGGUAAUCAGAUUUUGUGAUAUAUGAGCCAUGUGCCCAGUAUGAAGAGAUCAAUACCACAAUACCUUUGAACCCAGUCAAAUGUACCAACAGAAACCUUUUUAUUCUCAACAGUUGCUACAGCACCAGACCCAGGUUCUUCCACGAAUGUUCCAUCCACUACCUGUAAUAAAUAAUUUCUUGCGUGAGAUAUCUGCAUGUUUGAUAUCAUUACCAUAAGAUAAUGACUAGCUGAUGAACUACACAAUCCAGGAAAAUCAUAAUCCAUUUUGCCACUAAAUAUAGUUAUGGCAUCAAAAUAAAUAUCUCAAUGCAACAUGGAUUGUCUUGACUGAUUAUGAUUGAUUCAUGGCUUGAUUGACUGUGAUUGAUUGAAAUUUACAACUUAUACAAGAUGUAGAUUAGAGUUGUAAAUCAGUGAUAAAAUUAGGACAAUAAAUUAGGGAUUCUUUCCUCGUUUGUAUAGUUGAUUAAUGGUGUUUGCAUUCAAUGAAUUCUAAGAUUAUUUUCCUUUAUUGUUUUCCCUGUAUACUCUAUAUAUAUUCCUUGUAAAUUCCACCAUCAAUACAAGAAAUACAAUUCUAUGCUUGUUCACAUGGUGUCAAAGCAAGGUUUUGGUUAAAAUUCCUUCUUUGUUCUUUGACUUUCGUUGUCAUAACCAAGAGCAGUCUUCUUUGCUGCAGUUUUAAUGAUUCUUAGCCUUCAUUGCUGAAAUCGACCUAGAGAAAAACAACCUUCAUUGUUGGUUCUCCCAUGUUCUCUUUACUUCUAAUCCCUUCCUCUACUUUUAUUUGCUUUCUCAAUAUGUUUGAAAUAUCUACUAAUGUCUAACUAUCUCCCUCCACCCAAAAUUUUGAUCAAACAGUAACCCACUCUUCUAUCGGUGCAUACCAAAAUCUUCAACCGUCAUUCAGACUUGUUGGCUGGAAUUAUUUGGUUUGUCAUCAACUCAGUCAUUCCUUAAAGGAAAGGGGAAGCUAAGCCAUUCAUUUAGACUGGUACCAAGCCCAAAAGUCCCAAAGUUGCUGCAUGGGAUGAGGAUGUUUCAAUGAUAAUGUCUUGGUUUUGGAACUCGAUGCAACCAGUGCUAGGAUAGAACCCUUAAAAGCAUGACAUAAUGUAAUAAACUUUGAAACUUAUUAUCUAUUAAUAAAGUUUCUAUUUCACUUUUAUCUACCCUCAUUCCAUGCAUUAUACUUUGUGAACAUUUUCGCCCACAUCUCUUGCCUUGUAUGUGAUUUGGGUGCAUUUAGAAGUUGCACGAAAGAUCCAAAUCAUGGAUUCCUUGCAAGUAUAUGAUUAAUUCACAAUCGGUUAUGGGCUUGGGUAACCCAUUAAAGGUUAUAGUGCACUACCUCCUAAUUAGAGGGAGGGUUGGUCUUGGCUAUCGGGAUCGGUUUCUCAUGGUGAGUGCACUAGUGUGUAUAGUUACAUAUUGGAUAGGACUUACAAUAAGACAUAACAUAAGGUAAUCAAGUAGUCAUGACUUCACCAAAUUGCUUCAUUGUGUUGUUUUUCAACCUUGGGAGAAUAUCGAGCUUGUGUCAAAAUUAGAAAUGGCUUUGACAUAUAGGUGAGGUCCUAAAAUGAUUAUAUAUUUCCUUAUGGAUUAGGUCACUAUUAAUGGAAGCUGGUAGCACUAGGUAUUCUCAAUAGAGGCACCAUAAUAUCUCAUAGGAUUGAGACAAAAUGUGCUCUUGCGUGAUCAUAAGGAGGUGUGUUCAUGUAAACUAUGGCCAUAAUGGUUCCUUAAGUGGAAUUUGACAUAAUCUCUUUGUGAGCUAAGAUAUGUCAAAUGAUCACAUAAUAGGAGAAUUUGUAACUCAAUGAUAGUAGAGGUAGUUUUGAGAGACUGAUAGUUUUCACCUCGUUAAACUAUGGACACUAGUUCAUGGGGGAAUUGAAUGCAAUGGAUAACAAGUCACAGACCGAGCACUUAGUAUCUCGUUGCUAUUUACAUAGGGCAAUGGAAUGUAGUUAAUUUUGUUCGCAUCUUAGAUCUAUGCAAUAGAAGUAAUACCAAUUUUUUUUAAAAUUGAUCUUUGGGGUUAAAAUACUAAUCUAUAGGUUUGGGUGUUCCCAAACCUCUUUUUUUUUUUUUUUAGGUAAAAAAACUUGCAUUAGAAACGCCUAGAAGUGGCAAAAGCAAUACACACAAAGUAUACAAAUAAUGCCCCAAAAAUCGAAAUAGUAAGGAGACAACUUCCCCUUACUUUAAGAGCAACCAAUCUAUAAAAUCAAUCAUAGAUACAGUGUGAUCUUCUAUAUAAACCCUUACUCAAUUCACAAAAGUAUACAUAAAUAAAGACUUAAUCGAUUGGUCAGACUGCUCAACGUUGUUGAAAGCUCUUCCAUUUCUUUCCUUCCAUAAUGUCCACAUUAAACAUAAAGAGGCAGCCCUCCACACAUUCUUCCUUUUUUUACCCAGAAAAGGACCAUGUCAACCUAAUAAAUUCCUCAUAACUGAGGAAUGCAAAACCCACUGCACGCCGAAAAAGGGGUAGAUCAAACUCCACAACAUUCUAGCCUUGCCACAAAACAAAAGUAAGUCGUUGGUGGUUUUCCCCUCUUCUUUACCCAAGUAACACCUAUUCGGGAUAGUCCACCCCCUUUUUUCAACUGAUCAAGAGAAAAUUCUACUCUAAAAUGCUUACCCUCAUUGCAGCCCAAGACCUCCAAAUCAUAUCCCACGGAAAAGGAACUUUAGAGACCCUCGUGUAGGAGCAAUAGAGGGACCUAAUUGAAAAUUUUCCAUUCUUUCUCUCCAACUCAAAAUGUCCUCCACUCCUCUUCUCACUGCCAAGGGUUGUUGUUUGCUGAACAAAGACUCCACUUCAUCCAUCUCUCAGUCAUUUAGGUGUCUUGAAAAGCAGGGAUUCCAACAACCUAAAUCCCCACCUUCCUCUCAAGCUUCUAACACUUAAUCGUCUUUAUUUACAACCAAAAGAAAUAAGUUAAGGAAAGCUUCUUUCAAGGAUUGGUCCUCACACUACAAGUCUUUCCAAAACUUAACCCCUCUCCCAUUCCCUACCAUAAAGCGAGAUCUACACCUUAUGCCUUCUCAAUCAUUUCUAAUGGCUUUCCACACCCCCACACCAUAAACUCCCCUCAUUCCUUUUGAACAUCACCCUCCUUCUACUUCAAACUUCCCGAUGAUGACUUGUUUCCAAAGAAGCUCCCUUUCUUUUGCAAAUCUCCAAUUCCACUUACCAAGCAAGGCUUUAUUUAGGGUCGCUAUAUUGCAAAUUCCUAAGCCUCCCUUCUUCUUAUCCACACAAACUAAAUUUCAAGUGUUGAAGAAUUAAAUCGAUGUCCUCGGAAGUCUCAUAAACCCACAAUCUUUCAUUCAAUGACUGAACCUCAUUCUUUGGUACACAAAUGAUGGGUAGUUUGGGAGGCUAGAGGCUAGAGGCUAGGACUCUCUCUUCUCUCUAGAUGGUGGAAGACAAAAGUGAAAACCCUAGCCUCUAGGGAGUAUUUAUAGAGUUCCUAACUAGGCUUAAUUGACUGGAGCCCAUAUGGGCUUAGGUCACCUAAUCUAGUUCAAAUUGGGUCCUAAUUAAUGAAUUAACCCCACAAGACCAUCCAAUUAAUCAAUUAGCCCAAUUCAGAGAUGUUGUUCACUAACCCUGGUGCAACCUUGUGUACUAACCAAAACGCCCUUAUACACAUAAGUGAACCAAAAGUCGAUCUAACUCUCAUAAAUUGUGUCAACAAGGUAUUUGAACUCAAAUGAGGACCACUGAGAGUCAUAAGACAGUAUUGUGUCACAUAUUGUUUGUUUGGUGUAUGUGAGCAUAGCAGAGGUGCUGAUUAAGAUUAGUAUGUUGAUUGGUUUGAGCUGAAUGUAAUGGGAAUUGCUCUAGGGACAGGCUGUGUAUGUGAUGUCGGAUGCUUAUUCAGAGUUCAGGUAGGCCGACCCGGUUAAAUUUGGGGAGCUUGUCACUAGUCAAGGACUUGGCAGUGAAGAGGAGCUUGACCAUCUCCUACACAAACUGGUCGAGAGCUGAACCCAUUCCCCUAAUGAGUCCAUGGUAGGACGAAACUAAUCAGCAUAGUGGCAUUGAAAUGCAUAGCAUGCAAGCUGAGCCCCUUUGAUUCUUGCCCACGGGGUCGCUGCAUGGGUCGUGCCAUUAUGUUGGAACUCUAGGCCCGUGAAAAGUGGUAUCAAAGCAAGGCAGGAGGUCAAGCAUGGCGGUGUUCCCUUUUGACAGUCUAUGGCCGACGAGUUAUCUCUCCCGAUGGCAAUACAAGUAGCCUAUGAAGCCUAACGUAGCGACAGUGCGAAGGUGGGCCCUGUGGCAUGAAUCGAAGCUACACUUAUGAGGACCCGUGAAAGAGUAUGGGUGCCUCUGGAUCACGAGGUGUCGCUGGCUGUUCUAGUAGUGCACAUGACUGUCGCCUACUAGGGGUGGAAGUUAGUGUUUAGGUGCACACUUCUGGGGUGUUAUCGGGUUAACACGACCAAUGGAUGUCGUGUCCGAGGUGUGGACGUCCCCUUUGGCCCAGCCGCCCAGUGGGUUUCAGCAACGAACCUCUGGUGAUUAAUGGCUCAUGGGGAGCAGCAGCAUUCGAAGGCAUCAUUUGGUGAAGACAUAAAGCCUUACAUGAGGGCGUGCAAGAGAUUGAGUGGGGGAGCGUCAUGGAUUGUUUGUUUGGUGUCUAUGACCGUAGGCAAGGAGCUGAUCAAGAUUAGUAUGUUGAUUGGUUUGAGGUAAAUGUAAUGGAAAUUGCUCCAGGGAAAGACCGUGUAUGUAAUGUUGGAUGUUUCUUCAGAGUUCAAGCAAGCCGACCCGAUUAAGUUUGAGAAGCUUGUCACUAGUCAAGGAUUUGACAAUGAAGAGGAGCUUGGCCAUCUCCUACACAAACUGGUCAGGAGCUAGAGUCGUUCCCCUAAUGAGUCCAUGGCAGAACGAAACUAGUUAGCAUAAUGACAUUGAAAUGCACGGUGUGCAGGUUGAGCCCCUUUGAUUCUUGCCCACGGGGUCACAACACAGGUCGUGCCGUUGCGUUGGAACUCUAGGCCCGUGACAACUAGCUCUCUUAGAAUUCAAUUUUAAAGUUAAUUCAACAUCCCACUAUAGAUAAUCAAUUGCACUCCAAUACCCUAUGUAAAUGAUAACAAGACGCAAAGUGCUCAGAUCCGGGAUUUGCUAUCCAUUGCAUUAGUCCCCCCAUGAACUGACAUUCGUGGUCUUUAGUUCCUUUAGAAGAGAUUUUAACCAUAGGAGUUCACAAAUUCCUAAGGUCAUUGAUAUAAACCCAACUUUUUCACUAAAUCUUGUCACAACUGAUUGUUUUUUGCUUCUCUGUGUCACCAAAUUGCCUUUAACAAAUGUACAGUACCUAUAAAUAAAUUGUUUUUAAUUAAUACUGCCUACCCAAUUAGCAUCAGUUUAUGCCUCUACCUUUGGGUUGUUGUUUUUUGAAAAUAGAAAUCUUUUCCUAAGUGCUCCUUUGAGAUAUCUAAAAUUUCUCACCAUUGCAUUCAUAUGUACUUCAUUUGGUGCAUGCAUGAAUUGAUUGACAAUUUCAAUGGCCAAGGCAAUGUUAGAAUAGGCAAUAAUUUGUUGCAAUAGACAUUUUUUCUAUAAAUUAGUUGUAUAUUUACAGCUAUAUUAUUCCCAUUGAUGAGUUCUGCUAUGUAUAGGAUGUUAGGAUUUUUUUUCCUUGUUUAGAGCUCUAUAAGUCAACUAGUGUAUUCUAUAUAUCUUGAAAUAUUUUUUUAUAGGUAACAAAUCAGUUUUUUUUAUCACUCUUUCACAAGUCUACAUGGUAUCAGAGCCAUUUAGGCUCUUGGGUUUACACGUAGCCUUCAUUGUUGUUUUGUUUAGGUGGAGUUAAUUGCCACCAUUUUGUGUCCUACUUCACAACCUUCAUUGUCAUUAUCCUUUCCACUUAUUUCUCAAUUCAUAGCCUUCAUUGCUGUUAUUUAUUUUUUAUUUUUUUGUCACCACCUAAGAAAAUCUCCUUCUCAUUCAGUUCCUACUAUCAUAUUCUCCUUCAACCAUGUUUAAAGCACCUAAGCCCACCAACACCACUUCUGCAGUAGCUUCUUUCAGCGCCCAAGCAUCCAUACACCCUGAAAAUCCUACCCUUCAAAUCACCACAUCAAAACUAAAUGGAAGGAACUUUAUGGAGUGGUCCCAAUCUGUAAAAAAUUCUCUGAGAAGCAAAGGGAAAUUCAAAUACAUUAUUAGGACAGCAAGACCACUACUUGAAAGUGAUCCUAAGUAUGAGAUUUGGGAGGUAGAAAACUCAAUGGUAAUGUCUUGGCUACUACACUCCAUGCAACCUGCGAUCAGUAAGACAUCUACUUCUUCCCACGACUAAAGACAUUUGGGAGGCUGUUAAUAAGACUUAUUCAAAGGUUGGUUUCACCGCCCAAGUUUUUCAGAUCAAGCGACAGAUUAGGAAUACCAUGCAAGGGAUUUCAAGUGUCACGGAAUACUAUAACUCUCUCAAAGGGUUAUUGAUGGAGUUAGAUCUCUACCAAAACAUGGAGAUGGAAUCUACUGCUGAUUCAAAGAAGAUGGAAGGACAUGAUAGAAAUGGAACGAGUCUUUCAAUUUUUGUUGGGACUUAAUCCUGAAUUUGAUCAAAGCAUGUGAAAGAAUACUAGGAAAAGACCUUUUUCCUGAUCUUGAUGAAGCUUUUUCACACAUUCGUAAGGAGGAAAGUCGAAAAGAAUUGAUGGGCAACAAAACUGAAAAUUGUGGAAGUCUUACAACAGAAAAUUCUGCUCUAGCAGUAACCAAACAAAAUCAAAAUGCAAGUGACAACAAGAAACCAAUGGACAAGGAUAAAAUGUGGUGUGACUAUUGCAACAAACCAAGACACACAAGAGUCAUGUGUUGGAAGCUACAUGGAAAGCCUCAAAACCUGAAACAAAUUGGCAACAAAGGAAGAAAUCAGCCUACUAGAUUGGGACAAGACAAUCACACAGCUAUUGUUGAAGAAAAAUCAGCAUAGUUGGGAUUCAACAAAUCUGAUAUUGAGAAGCUAAAACAAUUGUUGAACCAAUUCGAGGAUUCUAAUGCAAACCCCUCAUCAAAUUCAGGUUCAUGUUCCAUGGCUCAAUCAGGUUGUUAUUUUCAAGAUCAUUUGGGGAAGACGAUUGGGCAUGGUAAGCUAAAAGAUGGACUUUACUUCUUGGAGACCAAUUGGAGAAGUGGAGGCAAAACACCAUGACCACUUUUUAGUGGGAGCUCUAUUCCUUGUAAGGAUACCUUUAGACCAAAUUCCCCUCUCACUUCAAUCUAUAUACCUAAAUUUAACCAACCAAUUGGAUGAUAUACACUUGCCUAAAGUGGCCAGGAGAAACCUUUUUGGAUUUUCUCAACUCCUUGAAGGAUAUUGUUAAGCGACUAGAUUAAACCAAAAGUUCAAGUUAUUUGGUGAAGGGCCAAAAAUAGAUUUCAAGCCAACUUGGGCUAAAGCCCUAACACCCUGCUCACAGGGAGCCUUCUUUGAGCCUUUACAUGGGCUCAAUAAAUAGGGAAAAUAAACAUUGGUGAGACUCAAAUUCAUGAGCUCCCUAAGCUAAGGCUUUAAUUCCACAUUAAGCUACCAAUUUAACCUAAAAGCUGAAGUUUUUGUUAGAUACAAGGCCAACUAUGUAUAUAAGCCAACUUAGGCUAAAGCCUUAACAAAUGUUAAAAACUUGAACAAAACUUUAAUGAUGGUUAGGCGUUUAGAUUUUACAUAAAAAUAAGAACAAGGAAAGAUUUAAUCAAGGUGAAAACAAAAGUUGAGAUACUUAACAUUUUAUCAAACCACUAUAUCUCAAAAACCAAUUGGUCGAAGAUUUUCACUUAGGAAAACUGAAAUACUUUCUAAAGCAAAUAGCUAAUCGGCAAUCGCAUGACCCAAUAUUAUCUUCCAACUUUUUUUUUAGAUAUUAAUAAGCUUGAAUCACUUCAUAGUAUUGUGUAAGAUAAACACAAAAGCUAUCAAAUUGUUUGAUACAACAAAAUAUUAACCUGCAUAUAGUUUUUAGAAUCUGUAGUGCAGAAUUAAUAUUUCAAACAUAAAUAUUGAUACUAUUUGUCUAAUAUUGUAUACUUUUAUAACAUAUGAAAGUUCAUAUGCAAAGCAUGAGUCAGCCUAGUAAUAGUUAGACUAAAGAAAACUGGAGAGAGAAUAAAAGGAAAUUGGGAAGAUCCCCUAAAAUAGGGAUAGUAAACACAAUGACAACACAAUGUGGUUGAAAAGCAGCUAAAAGAUUACCAUCACCAUCACAAAAAUGGCUAAGUUUCUCCCUUUGUAGAACUGCCCAAAAUCAAUUACAAUGACUCAAAACUAUUUAUUAGUGUUAUCCACAAAAAAAUGCAAGUUCCCAGCUGUUGAGAAAUUAUUUUCUUGAAUUUCUUUAAAAUAAAAAUGAAUUUCUUAAAUAAAUUAGCAUUAAAAAAAAGAUAUAAUCUAAAGCAGCAAUGCACUGUGGCACAACAUUGUUUCAGACAACCUAGCUUAUUCUGCAGGGAGACCUAAAGUACUUUGGCUGCUUCAAAUGAUUUAGACAUUAAGCAACACUGCAGUUGUCUCAACAUUUAAACCUUUCUAAUCAAAUUGGUGGAUGAUAUAAAGUGUUUCAGCAAAGAAUAUUCCAUACAUUAUCAAAAAUCCAAAUAGUUCAAUUACAAAACAAACAAAAAAAAAGAAAGAAAAAAAGAAAAAUCUAAGUAGUUUUACCAUUAGGAAACAAUUAAAGGUUCCUGGACAAAAGAAUAAAUGUUUACUUCAUGGACCGUAGAUUCCAAAAGAAAAUUCCUUCAGUUUUGGACCCCUGUCCAAUCCUUGUCCAAAUACACCUUAUUCCAACUUGUCUUCAUAUCCCUUCUAAUGUGUUUGGUUGUUUGCUUUAUUUUUUACUUUUUGAUAGGCAAAGAAAAGUAUAGUGAAGUACACAUGAAGUAUACACGAGGAACCUAAAAGAAAGGCCUUGAAAGAGAAGUCACAAAAACUCUCAAAGAGACCCCACCCAGUCUAUAAAAUCAAACAAAGGCAUUGAACCUUCCCUUAUGUACAUGCUAACCCAAGCUUAAAGGUUGUAGAGGAAUGAAAGAUUUAACUUUUGGUAGUCUUUCCCCAUUUUCAAAUACUCUUCAACUUCAUUCCCAUCAAAUUGUCUAAAAAAUUUCAGAGGAGAGGCUCUCCACGCCUUUCUUUCCCUCCCUAUAAAGGAACCAUGCUUAACAAAGUUUCUUUCACCAUAAAGGGGAUCACCCAAACUACACCGAAUAAAAAGAACAACAUAUGUCAUAGAAUCCUUACUCAAUAGAUUCCCCCUCAAGUUUACGAAGAAAACAUCUAUUCAUUAAGAGGCCACCUUCUAUUUUAGAACUAAUUUGAAGUUAAAACUUUUCCCUAUCUAACUUCCUAAGAAAAAAAACUCACUUUGAAUAGGACCAUAGAUUCAAAUGAUGUUCGUUGGAAAGGGGAGUAAUCUCCUAGGCUCCAAAACCAAAUAGAAAGAUUUAACUAAAAACACACCCUUCUUAGCAUCCUUCCUAUCACCCUAUCAUUCUCUUCCCUCCUAACCAAAAUCACUAAUAGUCUAGAGAAAAGAGUCUCAACAAUGUCUAGCUCCCAAUCAUGAAAGUGCUGAUAGAAGCACAAAUUCCAUUGAUCCGCUACUCCUAAAUCCUCCAAUAAAUUUGUUACCCAAGCCUGCUUAGACAAAGUCAUCAUACAAGGAGGGGAAGGAAACACAUAAGAGCUCCUCACCACACCAUCAGUCCUUCCAAAACUCAACACUCCUACUAUUACCUACAUCAAAGGAGGCUCUACUAAAGAAAAGAUCUCACCCUUUCCUUAUAGCUUUCCAUACUCUUUUAACAUUGUAACCAUCUCUUGCUUUGCAGGAGUGGCAACCCACUUCCUCCUUCUUGUACUUCUCCUCUAUAAUCUGCUUCUCAAAUACUUCCCCUUCAAAACAAAUCUCCAACACCACUUACCAAGGAGAGCUCAAUUCAAAAGAGAGAGACUUCUAAUGCCUAUUCCCUUCUUCCUCCUAUCCAAGCAAACAAUAGGCCAUCUUACGAAACGAAAUAAGGCUUAUUCUCUAAAGUUCCACCUCCCCAAAGAAAAUCUCUUUGUAUCUUCUCUAACCUUACCCCGACCCUUCGAUGGACUACUAACAAGGACACAUAAUGGAUUAGUAAGCUGAACAAUGUGCUUCUAAUCAACGUUAAGUCUACCCCUUUUGGAAAUAUAUUGUCUUUUGCUCAUUGAAUAGCCUUUUAUGAAACCUCUUUUUCACUACAUCCCAUACUACAAAUUGAUAUGAAAGGGGCACCUAGUGACAAACCUAAGUAUAUGGAAUCUCCCUUACCUUACAACAAAACAUCAUCAUCAAAUCUUCUACAUUUGCAACCAACCUAAUGGUAUAAAUUCACUUUUUUCAAGGUUAAUUUUAAGCUUUGAAAUUACUUUAAACCACAUGAGCAACCAACUUAAGUGAACCAUUUGAUCAUGAGAAUCUUAACAAGAAACUAAAGUAUCACAUGCACACAAAAGGUGAGACACCUCCACACCAUCUCCACUUCCCCCUUCCUAGCCCUCUCUAGAAGGCAAUGCAACACCUUCAUAGCCAAAACAAAUAAAUAAGGCAAAAGAGGGUCCUCUUGUCUCAGCCCCCUCGAGAUCUAGAAAAAAAAAAAAGUCUAAUUGACAAACAUUGAAAACUUUGUAAUAAAUAUGCACAAGUGAAUCCAAACAAUCCUUUUUUUGAUCGAAUCCCAUUUUCAUAAGAAUUACCAGCAAGAAAGCCUAAUUGACAAGGUUGUAAGCUUUUUUAAUAUCCAAUUUACAAAUUAUACCACUAGUGUCGUCCUUCAACAUGGAAUUGAUUGCCUCCUUCACUAUGAGAGUUGCAUCCAAAAUUUGUCUCCUCUCCACAAAAGCAUUUUGAAACAUAGCCACGACUUCUCUUAUCACCAUCUUUAAUUUGUUGAUGAAGAUCCAACUCUUGCCACAAAAUUUUUAGGGUAUUGUAGGAGGUUGUUGUGAAAAGAGAGAAAAGGGAGAAUCCCUAAUUCUUGUUAUUGAAAAACUGUUUAUAAUACACAUUGGACUUAGGUAUUUAUAUACAUGUUAGUGGGACCCACAAUACAAUAAGGAAAGAAAAAAAAAAGGAAAAGUAAAUAACCUAAAUAACUGUACACUAUCUAACACUCCUCCUCAAGCUGGAGCAUAUAUGUUAUAUGCACCAAGCUUGUUACAAAUGUAUUUAAUUCUAGGACCUCUGAGAGAUUUAGUAAAAAUAUCUGCUAGUUGAUCAUUUGAAUUGACAAAACUAAUCGCCACACAUCCUGAUACGAUCUUCUCUCUAAUGAAGUGACAGUCAACUUCAAUGUGUUUGGUGCUUUCAUGGAAGACUGGAUUGGAUGCAAUAUGUAAAGCGGCUUGGUUGUCACAGAUGAGCUUCAUCUGUUCAUCCUCUCCAAAUCUCAACUCCCGAAGAAGAUGUUUCAGCCAUAUGAGUUCACAUGUUGCCAGAGCCAUAACUCAAUACUCGGCUUCAACACUAGAUCUGGCCACUACAUCUUGUUUCUUACUCUUCCAGGAAAUUAGGUUACCUCCAAUAAAAACACAAUACCCGGAAGUGGAACGUCUAUCUAUGGGUGAGUCAGCCCAAUUUGCAUCUGUGUAACCAACAACCUGGAUAUGAUCUCUAUUCUCGUACAACACACCUUGGCCUGGUGUGCUUUUGAUAUAUCGAAGAAUGCGGAUCACAGCAUCCCAAUGGCUAUCACAUGGUGACUGUAGGAAUUGACUAACAACACUUACAGGAAAAGAAAUGUCUGGACGAGUAAUGGUGAGGUAGUUCAGUUUACCUACAAGUCGCCGAUAUCUCCCAAGAUCUCCUAAAGGCUCUCCCCCUGUCCUGGUAUAAGUUUGACAUUUGGAUCCAUAGGAGUGUCUACCGGUUUACAGUCUAACAUACCGGUUUCUUCCAAGAUGUCUAAAGCAUACUUCCUUUGGGAAAGAACCACACCGGAUCUGGAUUGAGCUAUCUCAAUCCUUAAGAAAUACUUGAGUUUCCCCAAGUCUUUAGUCUGAAAGUGGGUGAAAAGGUGUUGCUUUAGUUUCUUAAUACCAUUCUGAUCACUGCCUGUAAUGACGAUGUCGUCCACAUAAACUACCAAAUAAAUACACUGCCCCGAAGAGUUAUGAUGAUAGAAAACGGAAUGGUCUGCUGUACUGCGGAACAUGCCAAACUCCUAAACAACAGAACUAAAACAACUAAACCAUGCUCGAGGAGAUUGUUUCAAACCAUAUAGAGAACGACGUAACCUGCACACUAAACCAGACUCCCCCUGAGCAACAAAACCAGGUGGUUGCUCCAUAUAAACUUUCUCAGCAAGAUCCCCAUGAAGGAAAACAUUUUUAAUAUCUAACUGAUAAAGAGGCCAAGAAUGCACAGCAGUCAUGGAGAGCAAUAGACGAACAGAAGCUAUCUUGGCAACGGGAGAGAAAGUGUCACCAUAAUCAGAACCAUAAACCUGAGUAUAGCCUUUAGCAACUAAGCGGGCCUUAAGGCGAUCAACCUGACCAUCAGGGCCAACCUUAACUAUGUAAACCCAACGACAACCAACUGUAGAUUUACCAGAGGAUAAAACAACAAGAUCCCAAGUGUCAUUGGAGUGUAAAGCAGUCAUUUCAUCUACCAUUGUCUGUCGCCAGCCUGGAUGGGAAAGAGCCUCAGGGGUGCUCUUGGGAAGAGAAACAGGAGAUAUAGCAGAAACAAAUACAGAAUAGGGUGAAGAUAAUCGAUGGUAACUCAAAAAAUUGUAAAUGGGAUGAGGAUUACGAGUAGAUCGAUUACCUUUCCGAAGAGCAAUAGGUAAGUCAGCAGAAGGAGGCAGAGCCGAGGCAGGAGAAGCCGAAGGGAUAGGAAGUGAGUCAGCAGGUACCUCGGCCAAAGGAGGAACAACGACACGAUGACGGCGAUGAUAAACCUGAAGUGGGCGAGAAGGCACUGCAUCAGGUGGGGAGAUAAUAGGAAGGGGUAAGACUUUAGAAACAGGAAGAGACUCAGAGGUGGAGAAGAACGGUGAGUCCUCAGAGAAGGUGACAUCAGCGGAGAGAAAGUAGCGAUGAGUCUCAGAGGAAUAACAACGAUAACCCUUUUGAAGUUUGGAAUAUCCCAAGAAGAUGCAUUUUGUGGCUUUAACAGAAAGUUUGUCUUGUCCAGGAGUGAGAAUAUGAACAAAGCAAGUACAACCAAAAACACAAGAAGGAAGGAAAUAAAGUGAUUGGUCAGGGAAAAGAAGGGAAUGAGGAAUUUGAUCGUGUAAUACAGAUGAGGGCAUACGAUUAAUCAAAUAACAUGCUGUAAGAACAGCAUCCCCCCAAAAACGAAAAGGAACAUUACUAUGGAGAAGGAGAGUACGAGCUGUCUCAACAAGAUGUCGAUUCUUACGUUCAGCUACCCUAUUUUGUUGAGAAGUAUGAGCACAAAAAAACUGAUGAAUGAUCCCAUGUUGGGACAUAAAUGAAGUAAAUGGUGCGGAAAAAUAUUCCCUGGCAUUGUCACUAUGCAACACACGAAUAGAAAUAUUGAACUGGGUUUGGAUUUCAACAUAAAAUUUCUAGAAAAUUGAGAAUAACUCAGCUCGAUUUUUCAUUAAAAAUAACCAAGUACAUCGAGAAUAGUCAUCAAUGAAAGUGACAAAAUACUGAAAUCCUAAAGUAGACGCAAUCCUACAAGGACCCUAAACAUCAAUGUGGACAAGUUCAAAAGGCGACUUUGUCCAAUUAUUCAAACGCUUUGGGAACGAGACACGAGUAUGUUUCCCAAGCUGAAGGGACUCACACGCAAGCGACGACAAAGAUGAAAAACGAGGGACCAUUUUCUAGAACUUGGAUAGACUAGGGUGGCCAAGGCGACUGUGGAUGAGGAGGGGAGCAUUAGUGGAAAUGCAAACUGCAGGAGUUGAAGGUGAGGUGAGGUGAUAGAGGCCUUGAGACUCACGUCCUAUGCCAAUCGUCUUCCCCGUACUCCGGUCCUACAAGGUCACAAAUUUAUCGGAGAAAGUGAUAGAACAGUUAAGAGUACGAGUUAUUUUGCUGAUGGAAAUAAGAUUAAAAGGACACUCAGGGGCAUGAAGGACAGAAUGGAGAGGUAGGGAAGGGAAAGGAUGAGCGAAACCAAAACCUUUAGCCAUAGUUUGGGAACCACUAGCUAAAGUAACAAUAGGUAAGGCAGAGGUAGUAGUAAUAGAAGAGAAAAGAUCCUUAUUACCAGAUAUGUGAUCAGAAGCGCUAGAAUCUAGAAUCCAAGGUCCAAGAGAAGAUGUGUGGGUAAGACAAGCAGAAGCAUUACCAGUCUGGGCAACAAAAGCAACAGAAGCUGACUUG
rnacentral:lncRNA from 1 species